rnacentral:lncRNA from 1 species
ACCCCUCCUGCUGCUGUAGGGGCAUUUGCCUGCUGGUGCUCCGGGAAAGGGCUGUGGAGGUGAGUGGAGGGGAAGAGUCCUUACAUCCCUGGAAGUGUUGGAGAUUGGCUGGACAGGGCUUGGAGCAUCCUGGACCAGUGCAAAGUGUCCCUGGGUAUGGAAUAAGAUGAUUUUUAAUGUCCCUUCCCACCCAAACCGUUCUGGGAUUCUGUGAUACCCAGGCAAGGCUCCAGGGUGGGCGUUAACAGCACAAACUGUGCUUAUUUACCAUUUUAAUCAAAACUGGUCUUGAUGGGCUCGGGUGCGUGGCAAAGCUCCGGCUCCACGUGGUGGUGGGAGCAGCAGGGCAGGACCCACAGCCCUGCCCCUUCCCGGGAUCCGGGAACGUGGAGUCACCUCCUGGGUGUGAGGAUUGGUGUCAGCGCAGGUGGCUUUUCAUGGCUUUGUCGCUCCCAAGGCGGCAGGAAAUGGGGUGAAUCAGGGGCAUUUGGCCCUUUUUCCAAAAGCUGCUCGUAGGGAGGUCUCGGACUGGAGGCAGGGAUGUCCUGCCAAGCUCGGGAGCGGCGGGAGGACACGGAAGGGUUUGGUGGGAGCUGUGUCAGGGCAGCACGGCAGGUACAGCUCCGGGGAGAGCAGCUGGGCAGGAGUAUCCGUGCCCGGAUCGCCUUCCCGCUCAUCUAUGAUUCAUUUACGUGCUCCAGGCCCCGCCAGCUGCUCCCGCGCACGGGUCAGAGGAAUAACAAUAUUAACAAAAGAGAAAAAAAGCGAAUUAAACCCCCCGAGGCAGAGUUAAACUUUCGCCAGCAGGAGACAACACCUGAGCUCCCAGGAACGCCGUGCCCAGAGACAUCGUCAUGCUGGAAACUGCACCGAGUGCUUCCUCCAAAGAGCCUCUUUCAGGCACAAGCAUUCGAGUGAACCAUCUCGAAGAACCAGUGAAGAGCUGCAAUAUUAAUGAAGACAGAGAAAAAUCAAAAUGACAUUUCAGGCAAUUACUUACAUAAUGAAGUGACUGACUCGGAAUAUCCAAUAUUUAGAUUUAUCAUGGCACUCGAAAGGGGAUGCUGUCAACCGCCUUUAUUUCUACAUCACGUAAAUUGCUUCUCCCCUGCCCUGUUGCUUUUCAAACAUGGGCUGUGCAGCUGGAAAAUAAUGUUCACGCUCACUUGGG